GUUGGAAUCUUCCCAUGUCAAAGUUGACGUGCUUUACUGUCAUGUCUUUGUUGCUUCAAUGCUAGCAAGUCCAGCGCGAAAGUGAUUGAGCACAGUUGUUUUUAAGAAAGAAAUAACAAAUUCAACAAUUUCUGUAAUAGUAAAUCCAAGAUGGAAGAAAAGCUGUAUGGAUCAGUGCCUGUCCCCUCGGAAUAUCUUCAACAGUGGAUUCAGUCAGCUCAACAGCUUCAGGCUCUGCAGGGCCAGUAUCCGGGCAUCAACCAUCACCACAGUCCUCACCCUCACUACACAGAGGAAACAAGAG